rnacentral:rRNA from 1 species
AUUGAACGCUGGCGGCAGGCCUAACACAUGCAAGUCGAGCGGCAGCGGAAAGUAGCUUGCUACUUUGCCGGCGAGCGGCGGACGGGUGAGUAAUGUCUGGGAAACUGCCUGAUGGAGGGGGAGAACUACUGGAAACGGUAGCUAAUACCGCAUAACGUCGCAAGACCAAAGAGGGGGACCUUCGGGCCUCUUGCCAUCAGUGUCGCCCAGGUGGGAUUAGCUAGUAGGUGGGGUAACGGCUCACCUAGGCGACGGUCCCUAGCUGGUCUGAGAGGAUGACCAGCCACACUGGAACUGAGACACGGUCCAGACUCCUACGGGAGGCAGCAGUGGGGAAUAUUGCACAAUGGGCGCAAGCCUGAUGCAGCCAUGCCGCGUGUAUGAAGAAGGCCUUCGGGUUGUAAAGUACUUUCAGCGGGGAGGAAGGUGCUGAGGUUAAUAACCUCAGCAAUUGACGUUACCCGCAGAAGAAGCACCGGCUAACUCCGUGCCAGCCGCCGCAGUAACAC